rnacentral:rRNA from 1 species
AACGAACGCUGGCGGCAUGCCUAACACAUGCAAGUCGAACGAGACCUUCGGGUCUAGUGGCGCACGGGUGCGUAACGCGUGGGAACCUGCCCUUAGGUUCGGAAUAACUCCCCGAAAGGGGUGCUAAUACCGGAUAAUGUCUUCGGACCAAAGAUUUAUCGCCUUUGGAUGGGCCCGCGUUGGAUUAGCUAGUUGGUAGGGUAAAAGCCUCCCAAGGCGACGAUCCAUAGCUGGUCUGAGAGGAUGAUCAGCCACACUGGGACUGAGACACGGCCCAGACUCCUACGGGAGGCAGCAGUGGGGAAUAUUGGACAAUGGGCGAAAGCCUGAUCCAGCAAUGCCGCGUGAGUGAUGAAGGCCUUAGGGUUGUAAAGCUCUUUUACCCGGGAUGAUAAUGACAGUACCGGGAGAAUAAGCCCCGGCUAACUCCGUG